AUGGGGGAAACCCUGACGCAGCAACGCCGCGUGGGUGAUGAAGGUCUUCGGAUUGUAAAGCCCUGUUUUCUGGGACGAUAAUGACGGUACUAGAGGAGGAAGCCACGGCUAACUACGUGCCAGCAGCCGCGGUAAUACGUAGGUGGCGAGCGUUGUCCGGAUUUACUGGGCGUAAAGGGUGCGUAGGCGGAUGUUUAAGUGGGAUGUGAAAUCCCCGGGCUUAACCUGGGGGCUGCAUUCCAAACUGGAUAUCUAGAGUGCAGGAGAGGAAAGCGGAAUUCCUAGUGUAGCGGUGAAAUGCGUAGAGAUUAGGAAGAACACCAGUGGCGAAGGCGGCUUUCUGGACUGUAACUGACGCUGAGGCACGAAAGCGUGGGUAGCAAACAGGAUUAGAUACCCUGGUAGUCCACGCCGUAAACGAUGGAUACUAGGUGUAGGGGGUAUCAACUCCCCCUGUGCCGCAGUUAACACAAUAAGUAUCCCGCCUGGGGAGUACGGUCGCAAGAUUAAAACUCAAAGGAAUUGACGGGGGCCCGCACAAGCAGCGGAGCAUGUGGUUUAAUUCGAAGCAACGCGAAGAACCUUACCUGGACUUGACAUCCCUUGCAUAGCCUAGAGAUAGGUGAAGCCCUUCGGGGCAAGGAGACAGGUGGU
rnacentral:rRNA from 1 species